ACAGAGGGUGCGAGCGUUGUCCGGAAUCACUGGGCGUAAAGGGCGCGUAGGUGACGACCCCAGUCCAUGGUGAAAGCUCGCCGCUCAACGGCGCGUCGGCCACGGAUACUGGGUUGCUCGAGCACUGUAGAGGCAGAUGGAAUUCCGGGUGUAGCGGUGGAAUGCGUAGAGAUCCGGAGGAAGACCGGUGGCGAAGGCGGCCUGCUGGGCAGAUACUGACACUGAGGCGCGACAGCGUGGGGAGCAAACAGGA
rnacentral:rRNA from 1 species